rnacentral:rRNA from 1 species
UACGUAGGGGGCUAGCGUUGUCCGGAUUUAUUGGGCGUAAAGAGCGUGUAGGCGGCCAGGUAGGUCUGCUGUGAAAACUCGAGGCUCAACCUCGAGACGUCGGCGGAAACCAUCUGGCUAGAGUCCGGAAGAGGAGAGUGGAAUUCCUGGUGUAGCGGUGAAAUGCGCAGAUAUCAGGAGGAACACCAAUAGCGAAGGCAGCUCGCUGGGACGUUACUGACACUGAGGUGCGAAAGCGUGGGGAGCAAACAGG